rnacentral:tmRNA from 1 species
GGGGAUGUUUUGGUUUUGACAGCAUCGAUGCGGGACAGUAAGCACGUCGUGAGUCGGAAGCCCUCACGUAAAUACCAGUUUCCAAAAAACUAGUUGGCAACAACAAUUUCGCACUCGCUGCUUAAUUUGACCAAGUCAAAUUGCUUAAUCCGGUCCGCCUAGGCUGCGGGCCAGACGAGUAUCCCUCCGAACUUUACGCCGGUUAUGGUCGGGUCAAGGGGUAUCAUUCAAACCGGACGCGUGGGGUAAUUCCUCUGAAUCCUCACUAAGACGCAGGGGAUAAGCUUCAGGUGGCCCGCCUUCCGGCAGCCUGUCGCCGACAAUCAAAGGACGGAUAAGCGUGUAGAAAGCUCUCUUGUGCGUUGUUUGGACGGCGGUUCGAGUCCGCCCAUCUCCACAA